rnacentral:rRNA from 1 species
GAGUGGCCGACCCCCACAUUGGGACUGAGAUACGGCCCAGACUCCUACGGAAGGCAGCAG